CAUCCAUUUCUCAAGGCACAGUCCAGUUGUCCGUUUUCGUCUCCCUGCCUUUCUCUUUUGUUUCAAACGUCUUCUAGUGUUGUUGAACAGUCCCUCUGACCUACCUUUGUUAGACGUGCAUUAUCUUUUCCAGUCAUUGUUACUCUUUCUCUCAACUACUAAUCAGUCUGUAGUGGCUACAACGCUCUCUCAGAGAGUAACAAGUUCAGCACAACGCUCUCUCAAUGAAUAACAAGUUCAGCACAACGCUCUCUCAGUGAAUAACAAGUUCAGCAUAACGCUCUCUCAGUGAACAACAAGUUCAGCAUAACGCUCUCCUUCUCUCAACGGCCUACUUAUUCCAGUCAGCCCACUCAGCCAACGUUUGAAGAAGAUCUUUAAAGGAACGGACAACUCACUCAACAUGUCCAGUCAAGAAGUCGAAGGCUUUUCUCGGGAGGUACGGCGACGGGGUGCCACACUGGAAAGUCUUCAGGCUGCUGUGCCUCCUGAGCAGCCGCAAUUGUCCUCCACAUCACAUAAAGUGACAUGGAAACCACCAUCAUCAUCAUACUCAUUCUUGGGGACAUUCUGCUACUCAAUGGGAACAAUGCUCCUUUUUGUGAUCUUCUUGGAGGGUCUGCAUCUUCGUGAUGAAAUCCUCUACACUAUUGUACACUACAUAUUUAGUGUACAUAGUGUAGAGAUGGAUGAGCAAGACGAAAAUAACAACAACUGGACACUACUGCACUACUGUGCAGGGUAUGGAAGAGAUCGACUAGCAAAUAUUCUCAUCGGACGUGGAGCUGAUGUCAAUGUGCAGGAGAGCUUGGUAAGAACUAGUGAUAGUUUAGAGUCUGGUUGUCUCAACUGAAUUCUCAGUUUGUAUGUUCCUACAUGUCUAUCUGUGUGUCUCUAAGACAAUCUGUUCAUUUCUUCUGCAUGUGUGUCCUUAUGUUUGUAUGUUCACGUGUGUAUGUACAUCUGCAUGUGUGUACAUGUAUGUGCAUGUGUGUGUGCAUGUGCGUGUGUAUGUGCAUGUGCGCUCGUGCGUAUGUGCG